rnacentral:rRNA from 1 species
UACGUAGGGGGCAAGCGUUGUCCGGAUUUAUUGGGCGUAAAGAGCGUGUAGGCGGCCAGGUAGGUCUGCUCUGAAAACUCGAGGCUUAACCUCGAGCUGUCGGCGGAAACCAUCUGGCUAGAGUCCGGAAGAGGAGAAUGGAAUUCCCGGUGUAGCGGUGAAAUGCGCAGAUAUCGGGAAGAACACCCGUGGCGAAGGCGGUUCUCUGGGACGGUACUGACGCUGAGACGCGAAAGCGUGGGGAGCGAACAGG